AGUGAACGCUGGCGGUAGGCCUAACACAUGCAAGUCGAACGGCAGCACAGUAAGAGCUUGCUCUUACGGGUGGCGAGUGGCGGACGGGUGAGGAAUAUAUCGGAAUCUACUUUUUCGUGGGGGAUAACGUAGGGAAACUUACGCUAAUACCGCAUACGACCUACGGGUGAAAGCAGGGGAUCUUCGGACCUUGCGCGAUUGAAUGAGCCGAUGUCGGAUUAGCUAGUUGGCGGGGUAAAGGCCCACCAAGGCGACGAUCCGUAGCUGGUCUGAGAGGAUGAUCAGCCACACUGGAACUGAGACACGGUCCAGACUCCUACGGGAGGCAGCAGUGGGGAAUAUUGGACAAUGGGCGCAAGCCUGAUCCAGCCAUACCGCGUGGGUGAAGAAGGCCUUCGGGUUGUAAAGCCCUUUUGUUGGGAAAGAAAAGCAGCAGGUUAAUACCCCGCUGUUCCGACGGUACCCAAAGAAUAAGCACCGGCUAACUUCGUG
rnacentral:rRNA from 1 species